GCCUGUGCUGACUCUCAGGAUGUUCCCUCUAUGCACACAAGAUCACAACAGAGUUUUUCAACCCAAAGUUUGUGGGGCUAAAAAGGCAGUUAUGAGGAUUACCUUGAAGGACGAGGAGCGUUGUCCCCCUCCUACACUAUAAAUGACACAAGACUGGCAAUGUAUAAGGUAAAAUUCAUGAUAGAUCCUUUAACAUCCUUUAUCUAACAUUACAAGAGUUUAAAUAGGAAUGCAAAUGCAUUCAUGAAACCUGAUUGUGAGCUGCUAAACUGUUUUUCGUUGUUUUUAUAGCAAUGACAAUAAAGAUAUAUUCUAUUCUAUUCUGAUUGUCAACAUGUAUAGUAAGUAUGCAAUGAAUCAAGUAUUUCCAUACAUUUGUAUUUUAGUUUAACCAUGUGGACCCAUUCAAAUCUUUUCAGUGAGAAAGCUGGGGAAGCAACUUUGAAAUGAAAACAGCAAGUAUAAUUUUGUUUUACCCACAGUGAAAAAACAUGUGAACAUACUAUACUGCUCAUCAGCUUUAGCUUGUGUAAAAAUACAAUGCCAUGGCCAAUGGUUAAAUAAAUAGAACAAAAAGUGAACAAAAAAGAUGCCUGCCUGGCAUUAAAGUUGAAUCUUUUCUCAUUCAAGGUAAUUGGCAAACCGAAAAGAAAAUUUUAUAGUAGUCUGAAAAUAUGAGUCCACUAAAACCUGCAAGCUAAACGCUUAUCAUUUAAUUUCAAAACAAACAAGACAAACAAUUUUGUAAUCUGCUUGUAAGCAAUCUGAUUACAAGUAAUCUAUAAAGUAAUCUGAUUGUAAAUGUAACCCAGGGAUAAAUCCCAGAGUUAAAAUCAAGUAAACUAAAGUUAAAAUAUACAUAGUAGUAGAAACCCAACAGUUACUACAAAAGAAGCUAUGCCACUUUAAGAAAGUAAUGUUGUCAUAGUUUAGUAGAAACACUAGUGUUACUCUAAUAUAAGCUAUGUCACUUUAAGAAAGUAAUGUUCUCAUGUUUUAGUAGAAACACUAGUGUUACUCUAAUAUAAGCUAUGUCACUUUAAGAAAGUCACGGUUGGAUAGUUUGUUUGAAACGUACGUCCCCCAACACGAGGCAAGACAGACUAUCUUGUAUGUUUUAUGUGUGUUCUUGUUACCUUCCUCUAAUGGGUCAAUUUAGAGACACCUCACGUUUCUUGAUUUAUGAUUGGUCGAGGGGUGGGACAGAAGACGAGAGCAGGAGAGAGUAGCGAGAGAACCGGGGUGAACGUGAGCUCUCCUCACACCGCUGCGGCGUGUUUCCUAUCUGAGUAGCCAUGAGCUAAAUAACUGAGUAAGUGUUGGAUAAAGUGAAGGUAAGGUGCUAAACAGCUACCAGCUUUAUUUAGUAUAUGUUUGUUUGAAAGUUAACUGUAACCUCCUCGGCUACUGCUGGUUAGCCCGAAUGCUAAGUCUGUGCUAGCGAAUGUACGGACAGUAGAGUCUGUAAUGUGAUUCAUGUCUGCUUUUCUAAUAUAUUUAAGUAAACAGUAAAUCAAUUGUUUUUUGUAUCUUCAUUUAGGCAAAGAAGAGAUAAAAGCAGGUAUGACAUCUUCCACAGAGGUGAAGUAGGUCAGGCUGGGGUCACAUAGUUUGAAGGAACCUCCUCCUUUUUUCACCUGUGCUUGGACUAAGAGCUGUGCCAGAUGUCCUGCUCAUCCACUGGUAGAAAUGACCUUACACCAGCAGCUCUCCCAGAUGAAGAGUCCUCUCUGCCAUCACCCAGAGGAGCUGAUCGACGUCUGCACAACUGAAGAAGAUGGACAGAGUCUGGAGCUUUGUGACAGUGAACAGUGAGAAGGUGGACAGAGUCUGGAGCUUUGUGACAGUGAACAGUGAGAAGAUGGACAGAGUCUGGAGCUUUGUGACAGUGAACAGUGAGAAGGUGGACAGAGUCUGGAGCUUUGUGACAGUGAACAGUGAGAAGGUGGACAGAGUCUGGAGCUUUGUGACAGUGAACAGUGAGAAGAUGGACAGAGUCUGGAGCUUUGUGACAGUGAACAGUGAGAAGGCUACCAUAGUCAUCCUCAGAUAAAACACAGAGAUCCUGGUCAAUAUUCAAUGGUGCUAUUUUCUUUCCAUGAUGUUGCCCUGUGUUUGAAAGGCCAGAUGCUGGAGGGUUGUGUUGGAUUUGCUUUUCCAUCAUAUUUUAACAGUCAAACAAUCAUCCAGGAUCUUUAUACUUUAUUUGAUUUUUGUUGGGAUUUCUUUGUUAAAUUAUUUUUUAUACUUUCUCCUAUGUCCCAGCAAUUCGACCUGAUGGUCUCCCUUACUUAUUUUCCGCAUGGUUAAUGAAGCCAGGGGUUGUUUAUUGAAGAUUAUUUUUCAUAAAAUGUUUAAAUAAACUUUUUUUAAGUCUGAA